rnacentral:lncRNA from 1 species
AAUAUAUUUGUUGAUAGAGUUUCACUACUAUGCUAUUAAUAGCACAAAGUGCUUGGUGCUACCAAGUUUUCCACUGUUAGAUCUACCAUUUUGAUCAUUUUCAUUCGUUAGAUCAUAUUAUUCAACCAACCACCCACUCAAUCCUAGAGGGCUCACGUCAUUCUAACCGCACAUCUUUUAAUCCAAUGGCAAAAAACUUGGUAGCACCAAUAACUUGGUGCAAUUAAUAGUAUAUUAGCCUAGUUCUUUGUUGAUAUUAAAUUUGAGCCAUUGAUAAAAAAAAAAAACAAACACUACAAAAGAUUUUGGAAGGUAUUGUCUCAACGUAUCGCAUUCCCGUCUAACAUUUUCGAAGGUAAAAAAAAAAUUGUAAUAGUGUAUAUAUACACACACAUUAUUUAUAAAUAAUUUGAUUAACAAUAAAAUUUUCUAAAUAAAAAUAUUAUUAAUGAUUGUAUUUAGCUCAGUUAGCUAUGAACUUUAUGAUUUGAUAUCUAAAAUUUCAAAUAUAAGUCUAAUCUCUCCACAUUCUAAUUGCAUUCUUUCAAAAUAUAUAUAUAUAUAUAUAUAUAUAUAUAUAUAUAUAUAUAUAUAUAUAUAUAUAUAUAUAUAUAUAUAGGCCAUGUCUACUAUACUAUUAUGAGUAUUGAAGCCCUCGUACUCAUAAGUUGUUUUCAAUGAUGGAGCUUCCGAAUCGACGAUCCAUUCCGUUAAAUAUGAUCUAGAGUAUUUGAAACUUUUAGAAAAUAAAUUUCGUAAAUUUUCGAAAUCAUAAUAAAGUCCAUCAAGUGGGCAUAAAAUGAACGGUCAAAAUCGAACGACGUCCUAAAAAAAGAUAAUCGGAUCCUUCAAUUCAAGAUCGGAGUUAUUGAUCUUUAUCUAUGUAGUGAAUAGAAUUUUCUAUAAAAAAUUCAACAAAUUCCGAUUUUUUUACACCGUUAAACUAGCAAGUAUCCCAUACCGGCCGUUAAAAAUUGUCAAAUUUGUGACCUCUUGAUCGUAAGGUAAAUGAUGUCGAAAAAUUAUAAAAUUUGAUUUCUAGAAGUUUUAAAUGCUGUAAAUAACGUUUAACGGUAUGGAUCGUUGAUUCGAAAGCUCUAUCAUCGAAAACAACUUAUGAAUACAAGGGCGAUCGUACUCAUAAUAGUAUAGUAGCCGGGUCCUAUAUAUAUAUAAAAUUGAGCUCCUAUAUUUCUAAAAGUACUAAGUUAUUAUUGCUGGUAGAUUUUUAGCCAUUGGAUUAAGAGAUAUGUAGUUAGGAUGAUAUGGGCCCUCUAGGGUUGAGUGGGUGGUUGGUUGAAUAAUAUAAUCUAAUGGUUGAAAAUGAUCCGAGGAGUAGAUCUAACGGUAAAAAACUUACAAGUACCAAGUGCUUGGUACUUUUACAAGCACCGUAGCUGAACUCAUAUAUAUAUAUAUAUAUAUAGGGUU